rnacentral:lncRNA from 1 species
CUUGAUGUGGCGGAUGACAUCGUUGUCAAAUUGGCGAGGGGGAUGAGUGCCUUGAUCAUGUGGAACUGUAGAAGGGCCCGUUGUGUGUUUGGUAUAAUGGGGAGGUGGCAGAGACCCAAAAGAAAAGGGGGGGCUCCAAUUGAGCCUUGGGAUCAUCAAGCGAGAGCCCAGUGGAGCUAUGAGGCAUGCCGUAUGGCACGGCCUUAAGUUUUUGAUCCACUGGUGGAUUGGGCAGAAGGCCACUUUUUGGUGUUGGCGUAGAGGAACUCGAGAGCAAUGCGGAGGUAGAAGAAGGUUCAGC